CUCCGAGCCAGGUGUGGGAUAUAAUCUCGUGGUGCGCCAUUUUUCAAGCCCGUCAGAAAAGCGCAGUAUUCGGGUGGGAGUGACCCGAUUUUCCAGGAGUCCUAACCUAAAAUAAAAUAGAACAUACUGUGCUUAAAGCAAGGGGGGAAUCAUGUAACAAUAAAACCAGUGAAGAAAAUUCUAAUGCUCAGAAGGACAGGAGUGCUACGUACAGACAAAAAGGUUGAAAUGCAAAAAAAUAUUAACUAAUCAUGAGUGGGAUGCCUGAUGGGUUAAAUGGGAGUUUUUUCUUUACAACUAAGGAUAAGGAUGAAAACAGCUAGUUGAAACCCAAGAGUAAGGUAAUCUGUUCACGUUAAGAAACUAACAAAAUGGGGGUAGCAAGCGUGGGAGGGGCGAAUUCAUGGUUUAGGAUCUUUCUGCUUUCUUUGAUAGGAUUUGGGUUAGAAUAAUCUUGAUGCAAAUAAAAAGUGGAUGAGGAGUCUUUGAAUUUCAUUUUUAAGCCCUCAAUGCUCUGGGCAUCUGUUCAUCUUCAGCCUCAUCAGGUGAGGCUAGAACCUGACCUGCUUCCCAAGCUGUACCCAUCUGUGCCAGAAGUGAGUGCGUGACCAGCACAGUGGUGCUUUUCUCAGUCUCUCCUGGGGGUGGGUUUGGACAUGCAUGUUCUUUCUGGGAGAAACCAUGGACCAGUGUUGCAGUAUGGUGGAUAGGCAAUGCCAGCCUGCUCUAGAUCCCCAUGACCUGGCCCACAACUCCCAAGUUAGCAAGAAGAGCAGUGAGGCAGAGCAGAACAAGUACCAGACUUCAAGCCAUGCCACCUCGGUUCUCGACAGUCCUCUGUCAGCUCUCUGGGCCUCAGUUUCCUCAUCUGGAAAGUGAGGAGGACUAUGCAUUUUAACUAACGUUUACCACUUAGCACAUGCCAGACUCAACCUUGGACCCUGGGCACAAAUAAAAAUAAGACAUCGUUCUCGUCCUCCAAGGACUCAGGGGAGGAGCUGGGAGGAAUGUAGACAAACUUGUAACCAGAUAAUGAUAUUGCAACUUGGUAAGUUCUUAACCCAGGUAUAAACAGAAAGCUGUCGAAACCCAGAGGGAGAACCAGUUAGAUUUCAGAUCACUUCGGCAAAGCCACAAAGAGCACAGGCUUUGAAGCCAGAGCACUUGGGCAAGAUCUGGCUUCCCCCUUACUAGCUGUGUGACUUGGGACAAAUUACUUAAGCUCUCUAUGCCUCAGUUCCUCAUUUUUCAAAUGGAGGUGAUAGUAGUGCCUACCCCCUUGGAUUGUUCAAGUGAUUAGGACAGUGCCUGGCAUGUAAUGAGUCCUACAUAUAUUAUGCUAAUGUUACAGAAUUCCCAGAAGUCCAUGAGGCUGAAAAGGAGCUAGUGAAUGGAAGGGAAUCCUUAAUUGAAAAAAACAAAUCUAGCUGUGUUUUAGAGAGAAUAAAGACAAGCAUAUAUUUUGUGCUUAUUAGGUGUCAGAUGGUUCACUAAAAUCCCCACCUGCCACCCCCCCUUGGAUGCCCAUAAGUCAGUGUCCAGGCUGCAAGCAGGAGCAUUUGGCAUGGUUAGGAGUACAUGGCAUGCUUAGGGGUGUUCUGCAUUAGGACUAGGGAAGGACCACUGUUUGAUCUGCAACAGCUCCCAAAGAACACACACGGAUAAACUAACCAUCCCCUUGCCAGCCUAGCUAGGUCAGACGGUGGAAGCAAAGUCUGGGGCAGGAACAUUUUCGGGCCUCGUUGAUUCCUGCCUCUAAGAGGGCAAAUAAGCAGGUGGGUGGGUCUUUUAGCUUGGGGAAGGCAAAACUUGGGCAGAACUUGGACCUGGCAGGAAUGAAGGCUGUUGGGCUGGCUGGGUGUUAGCUGACUCAGGCCAGGUGAGGGCAACUGUGGGCUGUUUGGGAAAGCCCUUCUGGGAAAUGCAAGUCAAAGAGAUGGGGUAGAGAGACUCAGGAGGCUGGGCAGGGGUGUUUAUGAGCAAUGCGAGAGGAAGGAGAUCACAUGAGGCCCUGGAAAUACAACAUUGAGUAGGACAGGAAAACAAGUCACAUGAGCACACACCUGAGAUGGCCAGAGUCACGGAAACAGGGGUGCGCUGGGAAAUAAUCAACAACAAGCUCUCAUGGGGCAGGAAGAGCCACAGAAUUUGCUGAUUUCCCAAGUGUAGAUACCACCACUGUAGCUAACUUCAAUCUAUCAAUGUGAUGUCACUAAAGUGCCCGUGAAACAUUAUUUCCACCGUACAGAUACGAUAGAGUUACAGAUGGCCUCAAGUGCCUUGAUAAUAGUAAAAUGUAGGAAAAGAAUUAGAAAGUGAUGAGUUCUGGGUAUUUAUUACCUUUGUUUUGAAUAGAGUUUUUAAGUUAUAAAUUUAUAUAAUUUAAUUUUAAAUAAUAACCAUGGUUUGUAAUUGGCUUACAAAGUUCCUGAUGAUUGAACCAUCAGCCUGAGGAAGUUGGAGUAAGCUGGCUCCAAAGUGCUACUACUUGGGAAUCUUACUGAAUUCCUUGGAGCCUCAAUUUUCUCAAUGUUAAAAUGGGAUCUUUUUCUCAUCAAAAUAAUCAUAACUGGAUCACAGGGUUCUUGUGACGGUCAGAAAAGUAUGUAAAAGCAUUUCAAAAACUGUAAGCAGCAUAUAAAUAUUAUAUACAAAUACAAUUUAUUCUCAUGGGUACAGUAACUUAGUGGUCAAAAGGGUAGUGUCUGGAGCCUGGAUCUGCCAAUCCUGGCUCUGCUUUUGUUUAGUUGUGUGACAUGGGCAGAUCUUUACUGUUUUGGGGCCUUAAUUUCCUCACCUAUGGAGUUUCUGUGAGGCUUAAGUGAAUUAAUAUUAUAAAGCACUCCUACCAGUGUGUGGCACAUGGUGAUCACCAUUUAAGUAUGGACUAAAAUUGUUUAUCAACCUGAAGAGCAGUCAGCUUGCAGUUCUUCCAGAACCAGAAGGUCUUUUAACUGAGAAAUCCAAGAUCCUGGCCUCCUCACGGCUUGGAUUAAAGGGCCAGUUCCCCUCUAAGCUAACUGACUUGCUCUGUGCUACUGGCCAGUGCUUUUUAAAUAAUGAACCCCGAAGCCUAAUUGCGGAGAUAAAGAUGCUGCUAGAAUCAGAUUCCACAGCCACUCACCAUAGUAGCAGGGGGUAAAAGAGCUAUCUUAUUACAUGCCUGGCUGGCUCAAUUACUUCAGUCCUGACAUAGACAGACGCUGGAGCCAGCCCAGGGCAGAGCCCUGGAGUUGGAGGGGUGGCUAGCUGCCCCACGGACCCUGGUCUCAUUUACCAUCUCUGUCACUAUAGUCCCCUGGGCUGGGCAAGGGUAAGAGAGUAGCCAGAUAGGAUAAGAGAGAUGGAGAAGGACAAUUUGAGGCAGGAGAUAGGAGUCAUGGCUCAUGGCUGCCAUAGUAGCCACAGAGUGGCUCAAGGAAUUCAGGGUUCUCAGGCAGAGUCAGAGACAGGUUUGAGGAAGGCGUGUGGGAAGGUGGUCAGGAUCUCCUCACCAGGGAUGAUGAAUUCACGUGCCAUGACAGACAGAUGAGAAUAGAAAGACAGGAGCAAAAAAAGCCUUGGUCUGCAAGGUAGAAAAACCAAGGCAGGUUGGUAGGGCAAGGUUUUUCAAACUAAGGAAUUGCAUCCACUAGAGAGUCCUGAAUUCCACGUAGUGGGACCAUCAUGUUCUUUUUCUCAACAAACUUGAAUAAAAUCCUGUGACAUAGACUGUGAAUAUAGAUUGAUGUCCAUCAAUCCCAUUUCCUCUUUUUGGGUGCUCAGACCAUGUUUCCCUGUGGCCCUUGCAGCUGGAGACACGUGACUAGUUUCUGGCCAGCAGAGUACAGGCAAAAGUGGUAGAAGCCACUUACAAGCCUAACUAUAAAUCCUCCCGAGUGAUUCUCUCCUAUCCUCUCCCUUCCCCUCCGUUUCCCUCUCCUUUCAUCCCCUCCCAUCUCCUCCCUUUCCCUCUAUCCUCCCUGUCCCCAUUUAUGCCAUGAUCCUGUGUUGAAGAUGGUGGCACCAUGAUAUAGAAAGAGCCUGGAGCCCUAGAGGAGGAAGAAGGCCAUUGAGCAGAGCUUCCUAAUAAGGAUCAGGCUACAACAUGAACAAGAAAUACACUUUUGUUAAAUCACUGAGAUUUAGGGGCUGUUUGUUUCAGCAGCUAGCAAGCAUUGCCCUGACUAAUAACUACAACAAUAAAAUGGAAUGGGGUGGAAGGGAGGGAACAUAAUGGAAUAUAUUCAAUUAAACUAGAGUAGAAUAGAACAGAACAAAAACUAUCAAAGUGCAUUGCAGGUAGUGAAAAAUAAAUAUUGUUUGAUGAAGCAUUUGUUUCAGUUCAGUUCAUAUGGAUACUCGUUUUUAAUAUGAAUUUUAUUUUUUUUGCUGGAGGUGGAGGUGGAAAGUUUUGAAAAUCACUGCCUUAUAGCUGGAGGGAGGGUUGGGGGUGUGAAUCAUGAGAAAGCUUUAGGUAAAAUGGGGAUGCAUAUCUACAACCCUUUAAGAAGCAAGCUAUGCACUUGCUAGCCAUCCCUACCUUGUAGAUGUUUGUCAUGGAAGUUUGUCGAUUGUGGCUGUUCAAUCCACCUUCCCUUCCUUUGGUAACACCAUCCCAGUCUUAGUCUAUAUAGUUUGUCUGGAGCUAACUCUGUCCGUUGGAAUCAAGGAGGAGGACACACAUAUGAAGCCUAGAAAAUCAAAGUGUUCCAUUCCUAGAGCCAUAGUGAUUCAGUGAUUGGUUUAGGAAUGAACACCUGACCCAAGUUGGUCCAGUCAAACUGGGACUUUGGCUGGAGUUGUCAUAAAAAUAAGUGUUUUAGUUCCCCUGGUUUUGGAGUUGUGAGGAUAUAAAUCUGAAGCUGCUGGCAGCCAUCUUGCUAUUAUAGGAGAGAAUGUGCUUAAGAAUAGCACCAUCAUUGAAGAAGGCAGAGCGAGGAGAUGGAACAAAACCAAGUCCUGCUGACAUCAUUUGAACUCCUGGAUUUAGCCAUGCCUGAAGUCAUCCUUGUAGUUUUUAAUUGAUUCUAUACUUUCACCUCUUUGCUUCUUCCCAUUUGAGUUGGGUUUUUGACAGUUGUAACUGAAAGGGUCCUGAGGCUGUGUCUUCUACAUCUUUAAGAUGUCUUUUUUUUUUUUUUUUUUUGGUAAAAUGGGCCUCAGAAAAAGUGGAAAACAGCUGGUCCUCAGGAUCCUCCAGCCUUUGCCAAGGAAAAGUGGUUUUAAUCACUGAAGAAUGAGGCUUCAACAUAUGGAAAGACUGUAAGGUGUUCCUGGACAGCAAGUGAGUGACUUGCUCACAGGCGGUAAUUCAGGGACCCAGGUUUCUUCUACCUGGUAGCUCUACUGUCCUUCAGAACCUCAGAGCCCUGUGCAUUCAGCCAGCAGGAGAAAGACCACUACUAAGGUCAUUCACUUUGGGAGAAGCCAGUCUUCAUGCCAUGAGGACGUUCAGGCAGCCCUGUGGAGAGAACCACAUGGAAAGGAUCUGAGGUCUCUCACCAGCACCAAUUUGCCAGCUAUGGGAAUGGGCCACCUUGGAAGGAGACUGUCCAGCCCAAGUGAAGGCUGCAGAUAACUGCAGCUUUGGCCAACAUUUGGCUAUAUUGCUUUGGGAAAUCUCAAGCCAGAACCAUCUGGCCAAGCUGCUCUUAAAUUCCUGAUCCACAGAAGUUUUGGAAGGUAACAAGACACACAAUUCUUACAGAUCCCUCAAGAGCUGUUUGAAAAAUAGUGGAUUUUAAAAUCUAGAAGGAGUGUGAAAGGAACCCAGGGGCUUUGCCAAUGGAGUGUCAUCAUUCAGGCCCCAUUUUGAAUCUAAACCAUCUGAUGAACCCUUUGCUGACACAUCAGCCUAUUGCUUCCUGGAAGAAUAAUUUGCACUUCAAGACUAAUUCUGAAACAAUACAAUUGCAAGGAGGAAACACAUUUGGAGUAGAGAAAUUAUAUAUGUAUAUAAAACUUAUUAUCUAACCAGGACAUAUUUGAGGGAGCUGGGUGGUAGCUAAUGAAGGAGAAAAGUGGGAAAUGGAAGAAAAACCACACAGAAGAAGGGUUGCCUAGUGAGCUGGAGCUGAAGACAACAAAGACCCAAAGGACACCGGGAGAUGCCAAAGGUUUGUUCUCAACUGUAUCCACCCCAUGUCAUCUCUAGGCUCCUUUGCACAGGGCUACAGGCUUACCUUGGUGCCUCACUGAUGGCUACAUCAAUUUCAAAUAAUGAUUUGAAUCAUUGAAAGAGCUUCUUUGGACUGUUUCCCAAGUCUUCACCUUUGCCUUUCAUCUCCUCUUUCAUCUACCUCUCCAAAGGUUCCCAUAGAUGGUCUUCAGUUUCACCCACAUUGAUUUUGCUUCAUGCAGAAAUAUGCCCAGGAAACUCUCUCAGAGCAGAGCUGAGCUGGCCGGUGCUCAAUGGUGUGUGUGUGUGUGUGUGCACGCGUGUGUGUGUGUGUAUGUGUGUGUGUGCCCUCACCACAUAAUUCUCUUGCCUGAUGUAGAAUCAGUGACACACUAAUUGCAUUUAUAUUCAGAGAAAGAAAAAAAGAAGAAAAUUCAAUGUGAUCCUAUUAUAAACCAUUUUUAAACAUUGAAAUUUCCCCCUUAGUGAUGCACUUCCAGGGCGGGUUAAUUUGGAGCCUUUUUGAGUCAAAUCUGUAAGCAGAAAAUUUCUCACUCCUGGGUUGAAGGCCAUCACGGACCAACUUGCUGCCUGAAAAUCUGCAGAUUCUCCCAUCAAAUUGGCACAGGCUCUGAGCAGACUUGAGGGUUUCCAUGCUAUCACUUUUUAGGAAAACUUGAAUAAUGGAAGACCAAAGCUCAGAUUCCAUUUGUUUGCCUCUGUCUUCUUUUCCAAGAGGAAUGCUGGCCCAUGCUCCUCACCAAAAUUUAAUCCCCCAAGAAGCACUUCUUUCAUUACUUCUGUUUGGAAAGAGCAGCAUAUAAAUAGACUUUAAACCACUUAAAUACAUUCAUGAGCUCUUACAUGUGCUUUCCGCAUCCAUCUCUCCCCCUGCCUCGCACCACACCAUAGAGUAUACUGAUGACAGAUUAAGCAGUUCCAAAUUAAAGUUUCCAUCAUGCCAUGUCACAACUCAGACACAUUUGAUGACUCCCAUUUGCCUAUAGGAUAGAUUCCCAAGUCCUUUCCAUUCUUUUCUCUCGCUCUUCUGUUAUACAAUCCCUUCAUUUCAGAAUCCUCCUAAACAGGUCUUCCUCUUUUCGCCACCUUAUUCCUCUUAACGUCUUCCUCAUCUUAACCCUUCACGUAGGUCUCCCUUCUACAUAUCUAAAAUCCUUCAGAGAAGUGGUUGGUUCUCAAAGUGUGGUCUCCAGAUCACCAGCAUGAGCAUCACCUGGGAACUUGUUAGAAAUGCAAAUGCUCAGGCCCCACUCCAGACCCGCUGGCUCAGAAACUCUGGUGAUGAGAACCCGCAAUCCAAUUUAACAGUCCCUGCAGGUUUGAUGAUCCAUUUUAGCUCAGAUCUCACCUCUUUCUGGAUGCUUCCCUGAUCCCCACAGCUUUUGUCCAGGCUCUUAAGAUGCUUCCAUGUUUGCUUAUCUUAUUUGGCAAUCACCACGUGCAGCUUUGCUUACAGUUAGCUACCUUGUAAGAAAGCCAAGGAUGAUUUCCACCCCUUCUCUCUUCCUUCAUUCUCUCUUUCCCUUACUCCCUUCUUCUACCCUUCCUCUUCCCUCUCCCUUCUCUCCCCUCUCCUUUCCUCCUUCCCUCACCCUUCCUUCUCCCUUCUCUCUGUCUCCCUCCCUCCCUUCUCCUUUCCUCUCUUCCUCCUUCCCACUCUCCCUCCCUCUUUCCCUACUCUUUUCCUCUCUCUCCCUCCCUCCAUCCUUCUCUCCCUUCUCUUUUCCUUUCUCCCUCCCUCCCCUCUCUUUUCUUCUCUGCUUCCCUCCCUUCCAUCUUGCCCAAUCCACCAAAGCCCUAGCACAGCUACUCAGCAAUUGUUGAUUGGCUGUGGUUAGGUGACUAAACAUAACUCAUAUGUGUUGGUAGUACCUUUCCAGCCUUGAAGUCUGCAAGAAGGAUACGUCGUUCCAAAAUUUGUCCUCUAGCUCUCAUGUCUCAAACAGAAUACCAGCAUUGAUGGCUCAUGAUCCUAUCUCUAGCACUUCUUGAGUUUUAAUAUUCUGGAGACACUAUAAAUGAUUGAUACAGGCUACUGAUGUGCUAAUUAUUAAUGACUAAAGCAGGUCCCAGAAAAAUCAUGAUUUAGCAAACUUUGUUGGCUCAGUCAGGCUACUUAAGACAAAGGGCACUAAAUGGCAAGCCAAAAAAAUCAAUGUGACCAAAUAGUAAUUCCUUAUGGCUGCCCACCUACCCCCACCCCACUCCCUGGGAAAACAACCCUUUUCAACAUGGAGAACAUCACAGCCAAAAAUCAUGAGAUAUACCUCAUCCUCUCUCAGAGUCCACCAGUGAAAUAAAGGCUGCACACUGGAUCAUCAGAGCCUCUUCCUUUCAAUACCAUCUAUUUGUAUUAUUUCCUCUCCUCUUUACCCAUCAUGAACCCCACAUUUUGACAUUUUCAUCUAUAAGGCAAUUUGCUCUUCAAUGCCAUGAUGUCCAAAGAGAAGUUAAAGAAGCAACCAGGGGCCAGGUGCAGUGGCUCAUACCUGUAAUCUCAAUGCUUUAGGAAGCUGGCCCGGGAGGGUUGCUUAAGGCCCGACGUUCAAGACCAGCCUGGGCAACAGAGUGAGAUCCCUUCUCUACAAAAAAAUUGACAAUUAGCCAAGUGUAGUGGCAUGUGCCAUACUCCCAGCUACUCAGGAAGCUGAGACUGGAGAAUUGCUUGAGCCCAGGAGUUGGAGGCUGCAGUGAGCUGUGAUCACGCCACUGCAUUCCAGCGUGGGUGACAGAGCAAGAUCCCAUCUCAAAAAAAAAAAAAAAAGCAACCAGGUUGCUAGAUAUCUUGUGAGAGCAGAGGGAGAGAAUCCAUUGUAAGACUCCUCUGGGGAAAAAGGGGUUUAUGGUUUCUAUUCCAUGGUUCUCUGGCCUACAAUGUUUCAACAGGAUUUGGAGUUAGUGCUCACAAACCAUUUUGAGAUUCCAGCCCCCUUUAGAGGAGUGAACUCCAAAAUGUUUUUGAUCCAGGCACCUAUAUCAAUAAAAAAAUACUUUGAGCAUGUACCACCAACACAGAUAUAUUUGUUUCUUAAUUGUAUUUGUGCACUACUAUUCUGAUGUAUUAUAUGCAUAAUGAAACACAUACACUAAAAUACAUUUUGAAAGGAUGGGGGAAAUAUAAAAUGAACAUUUUUAAAGUACUUUCCAAUCGUGAUGUCUUCCUGUUAUCAUUUGCUAAUAGCUCAACAAAAAAUAUGCGUCACAGAGAACUUCAUUGCACUGGCAGACACUGUCAGGAGUCAACCUGUAUUGUCUUGGUCCACCCUAGCAGGCAUCUGUAGGGUUCCUGUACAAGCAACAGCUCACGUGUUUCUCUGCAUGAAAGCAUUCUCUAACUAUUAAAGUGUGACUAGUGCGGACCUCUUUUUUUGGCUUUGGAGCCCCCCUCCCUCUGUCUCUGUAUGGGGGAGCUUCUUCCUUCUGUCUUCUCCCUUCUUUCUUGCCUAUUAAACUCUCUGCUCCUUAAAACAAACAAACAAAAAAAGUGUGACUAGUAUGAACGAGUCCUGCAUACUAGUGUGACUAGCAUGUACGAGGCCUGCAGUACUAGGGCCCCAACACCCCAGGAAUGACUCUCAACCAAUGAGGGAUGGGAGUCAGUAGAUAAAUGCCCCAACUUCCUUGCACCUCAGAGGGUGAUAUGGUUUGGCAGUGUCCCCACACAAAUUGCAUCUUGAAUUGUAAUAAUCCCCAUGUGUCAAGGGAAGGGCCAGGUGGAGAUAAUUGAAUCAUGAGGGUGGUUUCCCCAUACUGUUCUCAUAGUAGUGAAUAAGUCUCAAGAGGUCUGAUGGUUUUAUAAAUGGGAGUUCCCCUGCAAAAGCUCUCUUGCCUGCCACCAUGUAAGACGUGACUUUGUUCCUCCUUCACCUUCCACCAUGAUUGUGAGGACUCCCCAGCCAUGUGGAACUGUGAGUCCAUUAAAUCUCUUUUUCUUUAUAAAUUACCCAGUCUUGGAUAUGUCUGUAUUAGCAGCAUGAGAACAGACUAAUACAGAGGGA
rnacentral:lncRNA from 10 species